rnacentral:rRNA from 1 species
UGGGGAAUUUUGGACAAUGGGCGCAAGCCUGAUCCAGCCAUGCCGCGUGCAGGAUGAAGGCCUUCGGGUUGUAAACUGCUUUUGUACGGAACGAAAAGGUUUCUUUUAAUACAGGGAACUGAUGACGGUACCGUAAGAAUAAGCACCGGCUAACUACGUGCCAGCAGCCGCGGUAAUACGUAGGGUGCGAGCGUUAAUCGGAAUUACUGGGCGUAAAGCGUGCGCAGGCGGUGAUGUAAGACAGAGGUGAAAUCCCCGGGCUCAACCUGGGAACUGCCUUUGUGACUGCAUCGCUGGAGUGCGGCAGAGGGGGAUGGAAUUCCGCGUGUAGCAGUGAAAUGCGUAGAUAUGCGGAGGAACACCGAUGGCGAAGGCAAUCCCCUGGGCCUGCACUGACGCUCAUGCACGAAAGCGUGGGGAGCAAACAGG